UACGGAAGGGGGCUAGCGUUGUUCGGAAUCACUGGGCGUAAAGGGUGCGUAGGCGGGUCUUUAAGUCAGGGGUGAAAUCCUGGAGCUCAACUCCAGAACUGCCUUUGAUACUGAGGAUCUUGAGUUCGGGAGAGGUGAGUGGAACUGCGAGUGUAGAGGUGAAAUUCGUAGAUAUUCGCAAGAACACCAGUGGCGAAGGCGGCUCACUGGCCCGAUACUGACGCUGAGGCACGAAAGCGUGGGGAGCAAACAGG
rnacentral:rRNA from 1 species